UACGGGGGGGGCAAGCGUUGUUCGGAAUUACUGGGCGUAAAGGGCUCGUAGGUGGCCAACUAAGUCAGACGUGAAAUCCCUCGGCUUAACCGGGGAACUGCGUCUGAUACUGGAUGGCUUGAGUGUGGGAGAGGGAUGCGGAAUUCCAGGUGUAGCGGUGAAAUGCGUAGAUAUCGAGAGGAACACCUGAGGCGAAGGCGGGUUGCUAGGCUGACACUGACGCUGAGUGCGCGAAAGCUAGGGUAGCAAACGGG
rnacentral:rRNA from 1 species